GAGGACCCAGAAAUGGUGGGCGUACGAGAAAGAGCUAAUUCUGAUGUUGAGCCAAGUGCCUUUCAAUCAUGGGAUUGCAGACUAUCUGGAAUAAUUACAUAGUCUUGAUUGUUAUGGGCACGAGCCUUGGACUCAUACACUGGGGUUGGUACAAUGUCAAGUCUCACCCUGCACUACACAAGACUCAACAGGACUAUGUUCCCGAACCAGGCAUUGUGGCAUAUGUUUCGCCACCUCUAGCCCCUGCCAAGGCAUUGCAGCUGGUGAAGGAGAGUGAGUUCCAGUGACGUACACAUCCUUCAGAAAGGACAACAUCUACUAGGCUAUAUAAUGGACUGAGACUAUGAGGCUGGUUGAGGAAGAACUGGCUGUGGGUGGUUGGGGGAUCCUUUCUUGGCAUCCAUUUAACCACCUGGCUCAUGCAGAGGGCUAUGAGAAGCGUCGCUUGCUCUGAGAUGUCACUGAAAGAGAAGGAUUCCCAGGAGUGACUGGUGGUGAGGCGUUUUGCCAGUGGACUACUAUAUUUUUAACGACUCACGUGUGGAGUAAAUGGAAUUGAAUUCUGAACUCAAGAUAAUGAUGUAAUUACCUGUGCUUGAUUAGCUGCAAAUGUUAUUCCUCUGGUAGAGAUCAAAUUAAACUAUGAAUUUCACAAUAA